rnacentral:tRNA from 1 species
UCCCUGGUGGUCUAGCAGUUAGGACUCUGCAUUUUCACUGCUGGGGCCCAGGUUCAAUUCCUGAUGGUGGAA